GCAUAUUAGUAGGCGGUGGAAGAUAAUCCAAAAGGGAUUCCUUCAGUAAUGGCGAAUGAACGGGGAAUAGCUCAGCAAAGAAAUCGAGGACUCUGGCCUUGAGUUGUGGACUUGAGAGGUAUCGCCAAUGGUGGCACAGGUGGGGGCCUCUUGGAAAAGGGCACCACAGAGGGUGUGAGUCCUGUUUGCCAUCUGUAGUCCGCCGUGUACGGCAUGCCUCCUCAGAGUCACGUUCCUUGGAAUUGGAGCGCGAAGGUGGUGGUGGCUUUCAUCUCAAGCUAAGUAUGGGUUCGAGACCGAUAGCAAACAAGUACCAUGAGGGAAAAUUGAAAAGAGCUUUGGAAAGAGAGUUAAAAGUGCCCGAACUUGCUGAUAGGGAAGCGAAGGGAGCUGACGUUGCUUGGUAACAUCUUCUACGCAAGACUAGGAUGGGUUCUGAUUGCAAUGUGUGUAGUGUUUCUUGCCGUGCGUGUCGAUGCCAAGCAAUGAGUGGGGAGAGCUCCAGGGAUGUGAUUGUUUCUGUCUCCGGGUAGACGAAGGUGCCUGGUUGCAUCCAUUCGUGGGCUGAAAAAUUGGUGGCUGGUCGCAGCACUCCCUUGCCACUCAAGGCAAUUGGAGUGUAGCCCUGACAUGCAGACGAGGACAAAGUGCUUCUGUUCGACCCGUCUUGAA
rnacentral:rRNA from 1 species